CCUACGGGAGGCUGCAGUGAGGAAUAUUGGUCAAUGGUCGGGAGACUGACCCAGCCAAGCCGCGUGAGGGAUGAAGGUACAGAGUAUCGUAAACCUCUUUUGUCAGGGAACAACGGCGGGGACGUGUCCCCGGAUGAGUGUACCUGAAGAAAAAGCAUCGGCUAACUCCGUGCCAGCAGCCGCGGUAAUACGGAGGAUGCGAGCGUUAUCCGGAUUUCUUGGGUUUAAAGGGUGCGCAGGCGGUCUGUUAAGUCAGCGGUCAAAGCCCGGGGCUCAACCCCGGCGCGCCGUUGAUACUGGCAGUCUAGAGUUGGAGAGAGGUAUGCGGAAUGCGCAGUGUAGCGGUGAAAUGCAUAGAUAUCGCGCAGAACUCCGAUUGCGAAGGCAGCAUGCUGGCUCCACACUGACGCUGAGGCACGAAAGCGUGGGUAUCGAACAGGAUUAGAUACCCGAGUAGUC
rnacentral:rRNA from 1 species